AAGUGCUUUCAUUUGGAAGUUUUUAUUAGAGAGCCAGUAGGAUUUGCUGAUGACGGACUGGAGAUGAGUUUGAGGAAAGAAAACCAAGGAUAAACCCCAGGUGUCGUGUCUGAGCAACGGGAGGAAGGAGACAUCACUCACUGAGUUGGGUUUCAGGGUCUUCUUAACCUUGGGCUAGAUUAAUUUUGAGCCCGAGACCAAACAAAAUAAGUUUCCAACUCAUUAUGCUUCAUCAAAGGCAACACCUAAGCAUGCAUAGACAUGAUUCACACUGUCUUUCCUCCCUCUGCCUGCAGGAAAGUGUCCUGAGACCCAAGGCAUAACUGGUAUCUCUCUCAGUGAUCAGAGCUGCAGUGACAAAGCAGUUUUGCAUACUUCUUAGGUUUUUUUUUUUUUUGGUAGGGAAGGGUUGGAAAUUGCUGCAGGUAAUUUUGGAGAUAUUCUGAACUGUUUGUAUUACAUUUUCUGAAGCAGAGAAUUUGGGUUGAGAGGGUGGCCUUAUGGUAAGUUAUUUUUUUACAGUCUCUGCCAAUGGCAUAAUCCUGGUAAAUCCUCAUUCUUAAGUCUCAUGGGAUAUCUCUACAACUUGGUUUUGCUCUCUUGGUAAGGUGGAGACUUUAUUGGGGUGAUAAAGUACCAUAUCCAAUGAACAAGGAAGCAGAAUUCCCAAACAAAGAAACUUUAAGUGGAUGAUUUUCUAAUGCUAGUUAAUCUCCCUUUAGGAAGAUGUGCAGAUAUUUGUGAUAAGGAGAAAGGUACCUUAUUUGGCAUACUUUGCUUAACACCAAGGAGUCACAUGAUAGAAAUAAGUGCUCAAGUCUACCAGAGAACAUAUACAGGCAUGUAUGUGGCAGCUAGCCCCAAGCUGGGCACAAUGCAAUCAUUUUAUACUACAACAAGUAAAUAAAUAGUAGAACAGUGCAUUACCAAUGACAAAGAAGUAACUAUGGCUCCAUGCAAUGAUGUAGCUGAAUCUCACAGACAUAGUGUUGAGGGAAAAAAAAAAAGCCAGAUG